UGCCUCGUGGUGUUAUAAAUUCGUGCCGAUGCGCGCUGCUUCUUUAUUCAAGAGAAGGCUUCCUCGAGGGAUUGACGUCUGUCCUUGCCAUGGUCUGGGAUGGAGUUUCCUCCUCCCAUCUAUUCUUCCUUCACGUCGCUUCCUCUCCCUUCCGAUGAAGAAGCCCUCAAGUUCGACCGGAAUCGUCGCCUUUUGUGCCCCCUUUAAUUCUCGAACCCUAGUUUCCUUUCUGUCGAUAUGAAAAACUUUCUUCUACUGUUUCUGAAUUCCUGAGAACAAGCGACGCCUUGUGACUACAAGGAACUAUUCGACAAUGAACUUGGCUUCUUUUCCUCGUCUCGAUUCCUUUUUCGUUUCAAAGCAUGUGAUGAUAGAUGUAGCCUCCCAAACUGGUCAGGUUUCGAGAUGCUCCAAUUUGACGGAGUUGAAAGGGGCAUUCUUUUCCUUGUGUGGGAUGAAUCCGGCAUUCGACCAUCAUUUCUUACCCUUUCAAUGUGGUGGAUUUGUUCAUAACGGCAAGCUAUUGGCCCUUCCGGUAAUGUAUGGAGUGGAUAGUGUGUGAAGGAAUGAGCUUCGGGAAAAUCCUUCUCUUCAUAUGGCAUAGUUAGGUGGCAAUUCCCUUUGUGAACUACAAAAGUAGUAUUAAAGGGUUUACUGACCGUAGUUCUGUCCCAUCAAUUCCAGACUGUGAUCCAUACAGGGGAAAAUAAGCUACUGCCUCAACCCUUGAACUGUCUAAGCGGGUAAAAUCCAAAUUUGAUUAAUUCAAUAAGCUCGCCAGUUUGGUGGCCAAUUGGGGUGAUGUUGAGAUGAGCUCAACCUAUCUAAGAAUUACAGCGUUGCCUAUGCUGCAAAAUCCAGGCCCUGCCAAGGUUGAGAUUAUUUUUUCCAUGAACGUGUUAUAACCUCCUGCCUUUUUGCUUGUGAUAAUCACUGGAUUUUGUCCUGUAUAUGACAUUUUUUUUAUAAAAAAAUCUCAUUUAUUUGCUGCCCCAUUUCUUCUUUUUGCCUGCAAAAUUUAUUUCCUAUGGUUCAGUGAAUUCUUUGCAAUCUCAUAAUAUUAGAACAUAGCAUAUUUACCUUAACUUGGUUUAAAGUGAUGGUUAAGAUCACGUGAAGCUAUUUCAUAUAUUUUGAAGUCUUUCUGGAGCGGUUGUAGUUUGUACUUUAAUCAUGCAUUUUGAUCUAUUCUUUGAUAGGGAACUAAGAUGGAUGUAUGAGAUUUUAUAUAUAUAUAUAUAUAUAUAUAUAUAUAUACUAGAUGAUAAAAAGGAGCACAAAACUCCUGUGAAUGUGGGUCCCGGAAAAGGGUCAGACCACAUUGAUAUAAUAUAGACAUGUUCAAAGGUGACAAAUAAAUUUUAUAGUUGUGUACCAAAGAAAAUUCUAAUUAACGAAAUGAAAUACUAUUUAAUGUAUUUGAAUCCUACUUAUCAUAUGGUCUUAGUUAGAGUUCAAUGGUCUCCACGGGGAUCCCAGUUGGCUGGAGGGUGGUAGUUUUGCUGCAAUUAAUUAGAGUGCAAUGGAAGAAUAUGAUUUACCCAGCCAACACUAUAGAGUGAGCUGCAUUCCUUUUUCGUUUGUGACCACCUAGCCAAUGAACUCAGGUGAAAAUGAAUAUAUUUGAUUUUGAAUCAAUGUAUAUGUGCGCGCUGUGUUUCAUUGAUGCCCAUGUGGUACUUCAACCUCAUGCAGCAUUUGACAGCAACAAAUGUUUUAAGAACAUAUUCAAGUAUCACAUGGAUGCCAUAUCAUCUACAAAAUAUCUCUGUGUGUUGUGGGAUCUGAACAUUUGAUGGUAUGCGAUAUAGAUGUUUCUGCAUACAAGAUUCCCUAAUAAUUGUACUCAGCAAUUGCCUUUUGCCUUCCUGUACUUUGAGCUUCAGCAUCCCAGAUAGCGCCAAACAGAAAAAAACAGCAGGUAAGUGCCACUCAUGACCUUCAAUAUAAUUUGCAAUGCAGCAGUUUUAAUGGGUUGCUGUGAGCUGUCCUCUCAUGACUUUGGUUUGCUAAAAAUAGGAGAAAUUUCAAUUUCCCCCCUAGAGUUUGUCGCUUUUAGCAAAAUAUUCCAUAGAUUGAUACUUUGUUCAUUAUUUGUGUUCAAUAUUUCUGCAUUUCAUAAAAUUAUGUUCACCUGAAAAAGUCACUACUCGUGAGUCCUGUGGAGUUUAGCAGCUAUUGAAGUAACGUAUUGAUGGCUGAUAAGAAAACUUGAAGCUAUAGGUAUGUAUUUUAAAGGAGCUAUGAAUUGAGUGGUUUGCCAGGGAUCAAAUCACUUAUAAUGAUUAGAAUCAUAUCUUAAAAAUGGGUUGUCAUGUUUGCAGAUCCCGUUCCUUUCAAUUCACAUCAGGAUUCCUUUCACGACCAAUUCAUUGGCAGGCUUUUUACACCUUCAGUUUUAAUUCGAUUGCAUUGUUGUCAGUAUGUUCUUUUAUUGCCUGCCCAGUGAAUGAAUGUCAGCUAUUACUAUUUGCAUAAUUAGGUUUUAAUUUACUGUACCAUGGUGGGAAAAAAAGGUGAUAAUGCUCGACCCAUGCGUUAAUGUACUGUACCAUGAUGAAUGCUAAAAUGUCAGCUAGUUGAACUUCAUAAUGACGCGUCUGAAAGUUCUCUACCUAUAAUUUUCUGGUCUAACGUGAGGCAAACAUUACUUUCUUAUACAUGUGAACUGUUGGACCCAAAGCUGAUGGCAACAUUACACAGGAUAGGAAUGCAUUCUGGCUUUUUACUGCGAAUGAUUCAAAAUGUCAAGAACUCUGAAUCCAAUUUGUGGAUUAUUGAGUUGAAUCAUCUUAUACUUGUUUCCUGUGGUCGAAUUAAUUUAAGAUUUGCAAAAUGAUGUUCCAUUAUCAUGUUCCUUUUAGCGUCACCUGAAAACGGAGUAGAACUUUACAAAUGGCAUGUAUCAAUCAUCCAAACUUGUAAACAGUUCGUUUUAUUUGACAAUUGCAUUGUUCUUAAUUGGGCAUUUCUCACAUGUAA